rnacentral:rRNA from 1 species
UACGAAGGGUGCAAGCGUUAAUCGGAAUUACUGGGCGUAAAGCGUGCGCAGGCGGCUCCUUAAGUCAGAUGUGAAAUCCCCGGGCUUAACCUGGGAACUGCGUUUGAAACUGAGGAGCUAGAGUGUGGAAGAGGGGGGUGGAAUUCCAGGUGUAGCAGUGAAAUGCGUAGAGAUGUGGAAGAACACCGAUGGCGAAGGCAGGUCUCUGGGUUAACACUGACGCUCAUGCACGAAAGCGUGGGGAGCAAACAGG